rnacentral:tRNA from 1 species
GCGCCGGUGGCUCAAUGGAUAGAGCUUCGGAUUCCGGUUCCGACGGUUGGGGGUUCGAGUCCCUUCCGGCGCGCCA